UUCGGUACGACAUUGCUCACAUUGCUUCCAGUAUUUUUGCCCGCACUUGUGCGGGCUUUUUUUU
rnacentral:antisense_RNA from 1 species